GUGAGUAACACGUGGGCAAUCUGCCCUGCACUCUGGGACAAGCCUUGGAAACGAGGUCUAAUACCGGAUAUUACCCUUGACCGCAUGGUCUUGGGUGGAAAGCUCCGGCGGUGCAGGAUGAGCCCGCGGCCUAUCAGCUUGUUGGUGGGGUGAUGGCCUACCAAGGCGACGACGGGUAGCCGGCCUGAGAGGGCGACCGGCCACACUGGGACUGAGACACGGCCCAGACUCCUACGGGAGGCAGCAGUGGGGAAUAUUGCACAAUGGGCGAAAGCCUGAUGCAGCGACGCCGCGUGAGGGAUGAAGGCCUUCGGGUUGUAAACCUCUUUCAGCAGGGAAGAAGCGCAAGUGACGGUACCUGCAGAAGAAGCACCGGCUAACUACGUGCCAGCAGCCGCGGUAAUACGUAGGGUGCGAGCGUUGUCCGGAAUUAUUGGGCGUAAAGAGCUCGUAGGCGGCUUGUCGCGUCGGAUGUGAAAGCCCGGGGCUUAACCCCGGGUCUGCAUUCGAUACGGGCAGGCUAGAGUGUGGUAGGGGAGAUCGGAAUUCCUGGUGUAGCGGUGAAAUGCGCAGAUAUCAGGAGGAACACCGGUGGCGAAGGCGGAUCUCUGGGCCAUUACUGACGCUGAGGAGCGAAAGCGUGGGGAGCGAACAGGAUUAGAUACCCUGGUAGUCCACGCCGUAAACGUUGGGCACUAGGUGUGGGCGACAUUCCACGUCGUCCGCGCCGCAGCUAACGCA
rnacentral:rRNA from 1 species